rnacentral:rRNA from 1 species
GCUUAGAGUUUGAUCCUGGCUCAGAUUGAACGCUAGCGGCAUGCCUAACACAUGCAAGUCGAACGGCAGCGCGGGGAGCUUGCUCCCUGGCGGCGAGUGGCGGACGGGUGAGUAAUGCGUGGGAAUCUGCCUCGUAGUGGGGGACAACCCGGGGAAACUCGGGCUAAUACCGCAUACCCUCUACGGAGAAAAGCGGGGGACCUUCGGGCCUCGCGCUAUGAGAUGAGCCCACGUCGGAUUAGCUUGUUGGUAGGGUAAAAGCCUACCAAGGCGACGAUCCGUAGCUGGUCUGAGAGGACGAUCAGCCACACUGGGACUGAGACACGGCCCAGACUCCUACGGGAGGCAGCAGUGGGGAAUAUUGGACAAUGGGCGCAAGCCUGAUCCAGCAAUGCCGCGUGUGUGAAGAAGGCCUUCGGGUUGUAAAGCACUUUCAGUGGGGAAGAAUGGCUUAAGGUUAAUACCCUUGAGAGGUGACGUUACCCACAGAAGAAGCACUGGCUAACUCUGUGCCAGCAGCCGCGGUAAUACAGAGAGUGCGAGCGUUAAUCGGAAUUACUGGGCGUAAAGCGCGCGUAGGUGGGUACCUCAGUCGGAUGUGAAAGCCCCAGGCUUAACCUGGGAAUUGCAUUCGAUACUGGGUGCCUAGAGUAUGGUAGAGGGAAGUGGAAUUUCCGGUGUAGCGGUGAAAUGCGUAGAUAUCGGAAGGAACACCAGUGGCGAAGGCGGCUUCCUGGACCAAUACUGACACUGAGGCGCGAAAGCGUGGGGAGCAAACAGGAUUAGAGACCCUGGUAGUCCACGCCGUCAACGAUGAGAACUAGACGUUGG